AGACUUGUCCCGACGGGGCUGAGCCACCCAUCGGGCCUGGGUGCCAGGGUGGCAGGGCAGGGGCAGUGCGCACGCGGCCAGAGGAAGGUGCUGAGCCCACAGUUUCCCCUCCCCGCCCUGUGGGGCUGUGCCAGCUCAGCCGGCAGCCCUGGGCAGGUGGGCGGGGUGUGUCAUGAGGGCGUGUUGGGCAGGCCGACCACACCGCGAAUGUGCAGCCAGCACUUGUCCUCAGGCCGAGGCACGAGCUGGGGCUGGGCAUGUGAGGGCCGCGUCUGCCACCCUGGGGGUGUGUCUGCUCCGUCUGGGACCCUGGGUGUGACAGUGUGUCUGGGCGUGACGUGACGGGGUCGCUGCAAUCUGUGGGGCCCUGUGGGACUCCCCAGGCUGGAAUUGUGCGUGUGUGGCGGAGGGUGUGGGAUGUCAGACUGAGUGGGUAAGACCGACCUGCUGUCUGUGAGGUUGUGACGUGUCAGACCUCUGUGUGGGGUGUGUCUGGUGGGACUGUGACAGGUCCGACUGUGGACAUGCACCCUGGACCUGUUUGUGACUGUGAACCCAUGGAGGAGGAGGUGGCUGUUGAGGGAUCCAUUUCCUGUCCGGGCUCUGAUGCCGUGAUGCGUGUGCGUGCAUGACACUGUUUGAAUCAGUGUCUGGUGUGCGGUGGUUGCGACCAUGACCCUGUGGAAUAUAUUUGUAUAUGACUGUGUUGUGCCAGGUCCCUAUUGAAGUCUCUGCUCGUGUUGUGUCCCAGUGAGGCUCCGAGGCUGGGUGGUGUUUACGUGAUGGGCUGACACUUUCUCUAUUUGUAUCUGUGUAUAUGUGGGCUGCAGCUGCUGCCAAAUGACACAGCCCAUGUGUUACGGGCCCUGCAGGAAUCUCUGUGUGUCCACGGCGGCUCUGAGAGGUGAAUAUUUGUGUAGUGUGGGGCACCGUCCGUGUUUCCCGCCGUGUGAGUGUGUCUGCAUGUGUACACGCACCACAUCCUCAUAGGGCUGCAGCGAUUACAGCCGAGUCACUGUGUCCUAGCUUGUGACUCUGCCUCUUGGGGCCAGACCUCAGCAUCUCUAUACCUAUCCAUUUGUUGGCAUGUCCUUGCAUAGUGAACUCCUGCCUCCCCACUCCUCCCUCAGCCCUGUGUGCUUUGGGACCUGAGGCCAGAGGAGUAACCACAUUUCUACCCCUAUGCUGAGCUGGGAGGGCCCCAGGUCCCUGGCACCCAGACCCAGUGCUGCCAACAGCUCUCAUGCCCACAGGCAAAGGAACCGCAGCACUCAUACUGUCCUUCCUCCCAGGACAAUCACUGGGUGUGGGGAAGUGAAACCUAGGAGAAAGAGCAGAAACUGAGAGGCAGGAGAAAGAGGAAGCAGGAGAGAAUUCACAAGCAGGACCAUAGCAGAUGGGAAGAAAUGGAGACAGCAGAGGGAGACCCACCUGUGGCUGCUGCCAUUUCUUGCCUGGACAGCUGGUCUGUCUGUGCUCACCCUCACCCUGACACUUCUGUCCACUCCCAACCAUGAGCAAGACGGCGGACCCUCUGAGCGCCUAGGUCAAACCCUGCCAUGGCUCCUGUCUUCCUUGAGUGCAAGUUCUUUUUUUUUUUUUUUUUGAGAUGGAGUCUCACUCUGUUGCCCAGGCUGGAGUGCAGUGGUGCGACUUUAGCUCACUGCAACCUCUGCCUCCCCUGUUCAUGCGAUUCUCCUGCCUCAGGCCCCUGAGUAGCUGGGAUACAGGUGUGCACCACAAUGCCAGACUAAUUUUUUUUUGUAUUUUUUAUUUUUAUUUAUUUAUUUGAGAUGGAGUCUCACUCUGUCUCCCAGGCUGGAGUGAAGUGGCG
rnacentral:lncRNA from 1 species